rnacentral:rRNA from 1 species
CAUGCAAGUCGAGCGGUAACAUUGGGAGCUUGCUCCCAGAUGACGAGCGGCGGACGGGUGAGUAAUACUUAGGAAUCUACCUAGUAGUGGGGGAUAGCUCGGGGAAACUCGAAUUAAUACCGCAUACGACCUACGGGAGAAAGGGGGCAACUUGUUGCUCUCGCUAUUAGAUGAGCCUAAGUCGGAUUAGCUAGAUGGUGGGGUAAAGGCCUACCAUGGCGACGAUCUGUAGCUGGUCUGAGAGGAUGAUCAGCCACACCGGGACUGAGACACGGCCCGGACUCCUACGGGAGGCAGCAGUGGGGAAUAUUGGACAAUGGGGGCAACCCUGAUCCAGCCAUGCCGCGUGUGUGAAGAAGGCCUUUUGGUUGUAAAGCACUUUAAGCAGUGAAGAAGACUCCGUGGUUAAUACCCACGGACGAUGACAUUAGCUGCAGAAUAAGCACCGGCUAACUCUGUGCCAGCAGCCGCGGUAAUACAGAGGGUGCAAGCGUUAAUCGGAAUUACUGGGCGUAAAGCGAGCGUAGGUGGCUUGAUAAGUCAGAUGUGAAAUCCCCGGGCUUAACCUGGGAACUGCAUCUGAUACUGUUAGGCUAGAAUAGGUGAGAGGAAGGUAGAAUUCCAGGUGUAGCGGUGAAAUGCGUAGAGAUCUGGAGGAAUACCGAUGGCGAAGGCAGCCUUCUGGCAUCAUAUUGACACUGAGGUUCGAAAGCGUGGGUAGCAAACAGGAUUAGAUACCCUGGUAGUCCACGCCGUAAACGAUGUCUACUAGUCGUUGGGUCCCUUGAGGACUUAGUGACGCAGCUAACGCAAUAAGUAGACCGCCUGGGGAGUACGGCCGCAAGGUUAAAACUCAAAUGAAUUGACGGGGGCCCGCACAAGCGGUGGAGCAUGUGGUUUAAUUCGAUGCAACGCGAAGAACCUUACCUGGUCUUGACAUAUCUAGAAUCCUGCAGAGAUG